UCGACGCGAGCACUUGUGCUCGAGUGGCGAACGGGUGAGUAAUACAUAAGUAACCUGCCCUAGACAGGGGGAUAACUAUUGGAAACGAUAGCUAAGACCGCAUAGGUACGGACACUGCAUGGUGACCGUAUUAAAAGUGCCUCAAAGCACUGGUAGAGGAUGGACUUAUGGCGCAUUAGCUGGCUGGCGGGGUAACAGCCCACCAAGGCGACGAUGCGUAGCCGACCUGAGAGGGUGACCGGCCACACUGGGACUGAGACACGGCCCAGACUCCUACGGGAGGCAGCAGUAGGGAAUUUUCGGCAAUGGGGGAAACCCUGACCGAGCAACGCCGCGUGAAGGAAGAAGGUUUUCGGAUUGUAAACUUCUGUUAUAAAGGAAGAACGGCGGCUACAGGAAAUGGUAGCCGAGUGACGGUACUUUAUUAGAAAGCCACGGCUAACUACGUGCCAGCAGCCGCGGUAAUACGUAGGUGGCAAGCGUUAUCCGGAAUUAUUGGGCGUAAAGAGGGAGCAGGCGGUAGCAAGGGUCUGUGGUGAAAGCCUGAAGCUUAACUUCAGUAAGCCAUAGAAACCAGGCAGCUAGAGUGCAGGAGAGGAUCGUGGAAUUCCAUGUGUAGCGGUGAAAUGCGUAGAUAUAUGGAGGAACACCAGUGGCGAAGGCGACGAUCUGGCCUGCAACUGACGCUCAGUCCCGAAAGCGUGGGGAGCAAAUAGGAUUAGAUACCCUAGUAGUCCACGCCGUAAACGAUGAGUACUAAGUG
rnacentral:rRNA from 1 species